rnacentral:rRNA from 1 species
UGGGGAAUAUUGCACAAUGGGCGAAAGCCUGAUGCAGCGACGCCGCGUGGGGGAUGACGGUCUUCGGAUUGUAAACUCCUUUCAGUAGGGACGAAGCGAAAGUGACGGUACCUGCAGAAGAAGCACCGGCCAACUACGUGCCAGCAGCCGCGGUAAUACGUAGGGUGCAAGCGUUGUCCAGAAUUACUGGGCGUAAAGAGCUCGUAGGCGGUUUGUCACGUCGUCUGUGAAAUCCUCCAGCUCAACUGGGGGCGUGCAGGCGAUACGGGCAGACUUGAGUACUACAGGGGAGACUGGAAUUCCUGGUGUAGCGGUGAAAUGCGCAGAUAUCAGGAGGAACACCGGUGGCGAAGGCGGGUCUCUGGGUAGUAACUGACGCUGAGGAGCGAAAGCAUGGGGAGCAAACAGG